UACGUAGGGGGCGAGCGUUGUCCGGAGUUACUGGGCGUAAAGCGCACGCAGGCGGUCUGCUAAGUUUGGAGUGACAGUUGGUGGCUUAACUGCCAAAGUGCUUCGAAAACUGACAGACUUGAGGGCUUCAGAGGGACACGGAAUUCCGGGUGGAGUGGUGAAAUGCGUAGAGAUCCGGAGGAACACCAAAGGCGAAGGCAGUGUCCUGGGGAGUACCUGACG
rnacentral:rRNA from 1 species